UCUUAUGGAAGAGCAAAGAAAGUGGUUUCUUGAGAUGGAAGCCACCCCUGGUGAAGAUGCUAUGAA
rnacentral:pre_miRNA from 1 species